GAUGAACGCUGGCGGCAUGCCUAAUACAUGCAAGUCGAGCGAACAGACGAGGAGCUUACUCCUCUGACGUUAGCGGCGGACGGGUGAGUAACACGUGGAUAACCUACCUAUAAGACUGGGAUAACUUCGGGAAACCGGAGCUAAUACCGGAUAACAUGUUGAACCGCAUGGUUCAACAGUGAAAGACGGUCUUGCUGUCACUUAUAGAUGGAUCCGCGUCGCAUUAGCUAGUUGGUAAGGUAACGGCUUACCAAGGCAACGAUGCGUAGCCGACCUGAGAGGGUGAUCGGCCACACUGGGACUGAGACACGGUCCAGACUCCUACGGGAGGCAGCAGUAGGGAAUCUUCCGCAAUGGGCGCAAGCCUGACGGAGCAACGCCGCGUGAGUGAAGAAGGUCUUCGGAUCGUAAAACUCUGUUAGUAGGGAAGAACAAAUGUGUAAGUAACUAUGCACGUCUUGACGGUACCUAAUCAGAAAGCCACGGCUAACUACGUG
rnacentral:rRNA from 1 species